rnacentral:rRNA from 1 species
UACGUAGGGUGCAAGCGUUGUCCGGAAUUAUUGGGCGUAAAGAGCUCGUAGGCGGUCUGUCGCGUCGGCUGUGAAAACCCGAGGCUCAACCUCGGGCCUGCAGUCGAUACGGGCAAACUAGAGUACUGCAGGGGAGACUGGAAUUCCUGGUGUAGCGGUGAAAUGCGCAGAUAUCAGGAGGAACACCGGUGGCGAAGGCGGGUCUCUGGGCAGUAACUGACGCUGAGGAGCGAAAGCGUGGGGAGCAAACAGG